rnacentral:rRNA from 1 species
GACGAACGCUGGCGGCGUGCUUAACACAUGCAAGUCGAGCGGUAAGGCCCUUUCGGGGGUACACGAGCGGCGAACGGGUGAGUAACACGUGGGUGACCUGCCCUCAGCUCUGGGAUAAGCCUGGGAAACUGGGUCUAAUACUGGAUAUGACUCCACGGUGCAUGUCGUGGGGUGGAAAGCCUUGUGCGGCUGAGGAUGGGGCCCGCGGCCUAUCAGCUUGUUGGUGGGGUGANGGCCUACCAAGGCGACGACGGGUAGCCGGCCUGAGAGGGCGACCGGCCACACUGGGACUGAGACACGGCCCACGACUCCUACGGGAGGCAGCAGUGGGGAAUCUUGCGCAAUGGGCGAAAGCCUGACGCAGCGACGCCGCGUGAGGGAUGACGGCCU